UACGUAGGGUGCGAGCGUUUGUCCGGAAUUAUUGGGCGUAAAGAGCUCGUAGGCGGUGUGUCACGUCGUUCGUGAAAACCUGCAGCUUAACUGUGGGCGUGCGGUCGAUACGGGCAUCACUGGAGUUCGGCAGGGGAGACUGGAAUUCCUGGUGUAGCGGUGAAAUGCGCAGAUAUCAGGAGGAACACCGGUGGCGAAGGCGGAUCUCUGGGCCAUUACUGACGAUCAGGCUCGAAAGCGUGGGGAGCAAACAGG
rnacentral:rRNA from 1 species